rnacentral:tRNA from 1 species
GGGCGCGUGAUGGAAUUGGCAGACAUGCAUGACUUAGGAUCAUGUGGGUAAUACCCUUGGGAGUUCGAGUCUCCCCGCGCCCACCA